UGCACAGCAUCAGAUGUGUCUGACUUCUAAGGAAAAUGAGACCCCAGACACAUUGAUGGGUCAGUUCAGCAAAAACAAGAGUGGCAUUCCUGUCUGGAGAGGGUGGAGAGGAAGAGAGUCAGACACCUAUAGCACCGCAUCAUAGCCCAUGAAGCUUCUCCAGAGCAGGUGGAAGCAGGGAACGGAACCCAGGAGCCCUUCCAUCUGGAGCAGAUGACUUCAGAGAUCCCAGGGCAGCAGGUCUGCAAGGCCAGGCAGUAGAGAAGGAGCCAGCAGGGGAGAGGUGAGCCCCAGCCUUCCCAAAGUGCCUCCUCUGGGAUGUCUCCCUUUCUGAAGCAGGAUCAUGACACAGGACCAUUCGCAUGUGGGGGGUGCGGGGGUUCAGGGAAGGUUACAGGCAGGGACCCAAUUCUCAUCCCAAGUCAUUUCUAGAAAGGUAUUUUAUUUUGGGAA